CUACGGGAGGCAGCAGUGGGGAAUAUUGGACAAUGGGGGCAACCCUGAUCCAGCCAUGCCGCGUGUGUGAAGAAGGCCUUUUGGUUGUAAAGCACUUUAAGCGAGGAGGAGGCUACUGGUACUAAUAUUACCAGCUAGUGGACGUUACUCGCAGAAUAAGCACCGGCUAACUCUGUGCCAGCAGCCGCGGUAAUACAGAGGGUGCGAGCGUUAAUCGGAAUUACUGGGCGUAAAGCGCGCGUAGGCGGUUUGUUAAGUCGGAUGUGAAAUCCCCGGGCUCAACCUGGGAAUUGCAUUCGAUACUGGCAAGCUAGAGUAUGGGAGAGGAAGGUAGAAUUCCAGGUGUAGCGGUGAAAUGCGUAGAGAUCUGGAGGAAUACCGAUGGCGAAGGCAGCCUUCUGGCCUAAUACUGACGCUGAGGUGCGAAAGCAUGGGGAGCAAACAGGAUUAGAUACCCCAGUAGUC
rnacentral:rRNA from 1 species